UGACAUCAGUCUAUUGAUCAUCAACAACAACAUUGAUGGAUUCCAUCAUUACUUUUGUUCUGGAAUUAAAGACCCUAAAUGCUUUGCUGUUUGUUGAGUAGCCCAGAAAUAUUCCUUCAUCACUCAUGGGAUCCAUCUUCCUUCUUUGUUCAUGAUCAGUCAGGAUAUAACAUUUACCAUCAAACACAUGGAAGUAUUUGACACUAGGU
rnacentral:lncRNA from 1 species